GACGAACUGUGCAAACGUUAUUCGGAAUCACUGGGCUUGAAGAGUGCGUAGGCGGUUUUGUAAGUAGGGUGUGAAAGCCCCCGGCCCAACCGGGGAAUUGCGCCCUAAACUGCAAGGCUAGAGUGAGGCAGGGGUGUGUGGAACUUCUAGUGGAGCGGUGAAAUGUGUUGAUAUUAGAAGGAACGCCGGCGGCGAAAGCGACACACUGGGCCUUGUCUGACGCUGAGGCACGAAAGCCAGGGGAGCAAACGGG
rnacentral:rRNA from 1 species